GCCCGAAAGUCGCGUACCGUCAUUUCUGUGCCACACGAACGCAACACAACAAUGGACAUGGAGGCGAUGGUUCACCUGCUGCUCGGUCUGUGGCAUUCUGCCUGAUUCAAAGUAAUAGAAGAGUCGGAGAAAGCUGAGAGCGGCGAGUCGAAACACUGAGGAGACACACAGGAGAGUUUGGGAGGCGAUGCAGCAGUAUCAAGCCGAAGACAAGAGGAUAUGAACGAGACGACAUAUGAGGAUGCUCUCUGAUGAGACUUCAUGGGAUUUACCUGAAGCAGCAGCACAUGAGCCUGCAGUGGCACAAGGUGUAGAGGAGGAGGACAGAGAUGUACAGGAUGCACUGAUGCACUACGUGUCAUGCAAAAGUUAAGUUAUUCUUCUUGUUAUACUUCUGUUUUUCUGUCCCCGGACCGCUAUUGUUUGCUUGAAUGCAAUUCUGACAAUAAACUUUUGUACCUUUUGCA